AUUCCCUUCUAUCACCACCUUCUUAUAAUCUAUGGUGUUCGCUUGCAAAGAAGCGAUCAUAACAAGACCUAAGCAAACUGAUGCAGCGACUCAUGAAGAGACACACAGAGAAGAACAAAGGAUAAUAUAGAGACGAAGAAGAAUAAGAGUGCAGAUAAAAAUUCAACUUUUCAAUUAUUUGGAAUACAUACUCAAAAUCAAUGUAUAAAACUCACAUCAAUCAAUAAAACAAACUAGAAAAAACAGAUAAAAGUGAAAAUCAAACUUGAUCUAAUUAAUUGUCUCUCAAGAUCAAAGAAUCAUAACAAGAGAGCAAAGGACAAGAGAGAAAAAAUAGAAACAAUAUUACCUGUCAACGAUACCUAGAGACUAAUUACUUUGAUCUAGCGAGGUUUGAUUUUUUAAAUUUCUGUAAGGACAUAAGAGAGAGAUUGGUCUAUCAGAAAGAGAGAAAA